rnacentral:rRNA from 1 species
UAGAGUUUGAUUAUGGCUCAGGAUGAACGCUGGCGGCGUGCCUAAUACAUGCAAGUCGAACGGACAGUAGCAAUACUGUUAGUGGCGAACGGGUGAGUAACGCGUUGGUGACCUGCCCCAAAGAGAGGGAUAACAGAUCGAAAGGUCUGCUAAUACCGCAUGUGCAACCGGGAGAUUAGAAGCCGGGUUGGAAAUGGAGGACGUUCGAAAGAACGCAUCCGCUUUGGGAGGGGCCUGCGUCCCAUCAGCUAGUUGGUAAGGUAAAAGCUUACCAAGGCGAUGACGGGUAGGGGACCAGAGAGGGUGACCCCCACAAUGGAACUGAAACACGGUCCAUACACCUACGGGUGGCAGCAGUAGGGAAUAUUGCUUAAUGGGCGAAAGCCUGAAGCAGCAACGCCGCGUGUGCGAUGAAGGCCUUCGGGUUGUAAAGCACUUUUUGUUGGGAAGAGGAAGGACGGUACCAGCAGAAUAAGCCUCGGCUAACUACGUGCCAGCAGCCGCGGUAAAACGUAGGAGGCGAGCGUUAUCCGGAUUUACUGGGUGUAAAGCGUGUGCAGGCGGUUUGUUAAGAUGGGUGUGAAAGCUCCUGGCUCAACUGGGAGAGGUCGCCCAUGACUGGCAGACUAGAGAGCAGUAGGGGAAGGUGGAAUUCCGGGUGUAGUGGUGAAAUGCGUAGAUAUCCGGAGGAACACCAGUGGCGAAGGCGGCCUUCUAGGCUGUAUCUGACGCUCAGACACGAAAGCUAGGGUAGCAAACGGGAUUAGAGACCCCGGUAGUCCUAGCCGUAAACGAUGUGAACUUGGCGCUGGGCGGGUAAAACCGAUCAGUGCCGAAGCAAACGCGGUAAGUUCACCACCUGGGGACUACGGCCGCAAGGUUAAAACUCAAAGGAAUUGACGGGGGCCCGCACAAGCAGCGGAGCGUGUGGUUUAAUUCGAUGCUACACGAAGAACCUUACCAGGGCUUGACAUGUAUGUGGUAGCGAAGCGAAAGCGGAGCGACCCUUCGGGGAGCAUGCACAGGUGCUGCAUGGCUGUCGUCAGCUCGUGUCGUGAGAUGUUCGGUUAAGUCCGCUAACGAGCGCAACCCUCGCCGUGUGUUAUACGUGUCACGCGGGACUGCCAGUCUUAAGCUGGAGGAAGGUGGGGAUGACGUCAAGUCAGCAUGGCCUUUAUGUCCUGGGCUACACACACGCUACAAUGGCCAGUACAAUGGGUAGCGAAGCCGCGAGGCGAAGCCAAUCCUCCAAAGCUGGUCUCAGUUCAGAUUGCAGGCUGCAACCCGCCUGCAUGAAGAUGGAGUUGCUAGUAACCGCAGGUCAGCUAUACUGCGGUGAAUACGUUCCCGGGCCUUGUACACACCGCCCGUCACGUCAUGGGAGCUGGUAACACCUGAAGCCGGUAUCCGAACCGCAAGGAAGGAGCCGUCGAGGGUGGGGCUGGUGACUGGGACGAAGUCGUAACAAGGUAGGUGUACCGGAAGGUGCGCCUGGAUCACCUCCUUUCUG